rnacentral:rRNA from 1 species
UGGGGAAUAUUGGACAAUGGGGGCAACCCUGAUCCAGCAAUGCCGCGUGUGUGAAGAAGGCCUUCGGGUUGUAAAGCACUUUCAGCAGGGAGGAAGAGAUGACGGUUAAUACCCGUUAUUGUGACGUUACCUGCAGAAGAAGCACCGGCUAACUCCGUGCCAGCAGCCGCGGUAAUACGGAGGGUGCGAGCGUUAUUCGGAAUUACUGGGCGUAAAGCGCACGCAGGCGGCUAUUUAAGUCAGAUGUGAAAGCCCCGGGCUUAACCUGGGAACUGCAUUUGAAACUGGAUAGCUAGAGUAUGUUAAGGAAGGCGGAAUUUCCAGUGUAGCAUGAAAUGCGUAGAUAUUGGAAGGAACACCGAUGGCGAAGGCGCCUUCUGGGGCAAUACUGACCUCAUGUGCGAAAGCGUGGGUACAAACAG